CAGUCGCCGCGGGAAUACGGAGGGUGCAAGCGUUACUCGGAAUCACUGGGCGUAAAGGACGCGUAGGCGGAUUAUCAAGUCUCUUGUGAAAUCUAACGGCUCAACCGUUAAACUGCUUGGGAAACUGAUAAUCUAGAGUAAGGGAGAGGCAGAUGGAAUUCUUGGUGUAGGGGUAAAAUCCGUAGAUAUCAAGAAGAAUACCUAUUGCGAAGGCGAUCUGCUGGAACUUAACUGACGCUAAUGCGUGAAGGCGUGGGGAGCAAACAGGACUAGAGACCCCCGUAGUCCCUGUCUCUUAUAC
rnacentral:rRNA from 1 species